ACGUACACUCCUACGGGAGGCAGCAGUGGGGAAUAUUGGACAAUGGGCGCAAGCCUGAUCCAGCCAUGCCGCGUGAGUGAUGAAGGCCCUAGGGUUGUAAAGCUCUUUCACCGGUGAAGAUAAUGACGGUAACCGGAGAAGAAGCCCCGGCUAACUUCGUGCCAGCAGCCGCGGUAAUACGAAGGGGGCUAGCGUUGUUCGGAUUUACUGGGCGUAAAGCGCACGUAGGCGGACUAUUAAGUCAGGGGUGAAAUCCCGGGGCUCAACCCCGGAACUGCCUUUGAUACUGGUAGUCUUGAGUUCGAGAGAGGUGAGUGGAAUUCCGAGUGUAGAGGUGAAAGUCGUAGAUAUUCGGAGGAACACCAGUGGCGAAGGCGGCUCACUGGCUCGAUACUGACGCUGAGGUGCGAAAGCGUGGGGAGCAAACAGGAUUAGAUACCCCAGUAGUCCCAUGAU
rnacentral:rRNA from 1 species